GACGAACGCUGGCGGCGUGCUUAACACAUGCAAGUCGAACGGUAAGGCCCUUCGGGGUACACGAGUGGCGAACGGGUGAGUAACACGUGGGUGAUCUGCCCUGCACUUCGGGAUAAGCCUGGGAAACUGGGUCUAAUACCGGAUAGGACUCCUGGCUUCAUGGUUGGGGGUGGAAAGCUUUUGCGGUGUGGGAUGGGCCCGCGGCCUAUCGGCUUGUUGGUGGGGUAAUGGCCUACCAAGGCGACGUCGGGUAGCCGGCCGGAGAGGGUAACCGGUCACACUGGGACUGAGAUACGGCUCAGAGUCCUACGGGAGGCAGCAGUGGGGAAGUAUGCCCAAUGGGCGCAAGCCUGAUGCAGCGACGCCGCGUGAGGGAUGCCGGCCUUCGGGUUGUAAACCUCUUUCAGCUAUGACGAAGCGCAAGUGACGGUAGUAGCAGAAGAAGGACCGGCCAACUACGUGCCAGCAGCCGCGGUAA
rnacentral:rRNA from 1 species